rnacentral:misc_RNA from 1 species
GAUGAAGAACGUAGCGAAAUGCGAUAAGUAGUGUGAAUUGCAGAAUUCAUUGAAUCAUCGAAUCUUUGAACGCACAUUGCGCCCCUUGGUAUUCCAUGGGGCAUGCCUGUUCGAGCGUCAUUUGUACCUUCAAGCUCUGCUUGGUGUUGGGUGUUUGUCUCGCCUCUGCGUGUAGACUCGCCUCAAAACAAUUGGCAGCCGGCGUAUUGAUUUCGGAGCGCAGUACAUCUCGCGCUUUGCACUCAUAACGACGACGUCCAAAAGUACAUUUUUACACUCUUGACCUCGGAUCAGGUAGGGAUACCCGCUGAACUUAAGCAUAUCAAUAAGCGGAGGA